rnacentral:lncRNA from 10 species
CAAUAAUAAUGUCCAUGAGUUAGUAAUUCAUUUUGUCUUCAUGAUAGCCCUAUAAGGUAGGAACUAUUAGUAUCUCCAUUUACAGAUGAAGAAACUGAGGCAUCUUGCAUAGAUCUGAAUACCGGCAGUUUGACUCCAGAAUCAGUUUUCAUCGUAGAGGAAGACUACCCUACUUACAUCAGGUACCAUAAAAAGGUUGCUGUUUUUGCAUCCUCCUUAUUUUUCUGUUACCACGGUCAUGUAAGAAGUGCCUUUUGCCUCCCACCAUGAUUCUGAGGCCUCCCAGCCAUGUGGAACUGUAAGUCCAAUUAAACCUCUUUUUCUUCCCAAUCUUGGGUAUAUCAUUAUCAGCAGCAUGAAAAUGGACUAAUACACCAUCUCUACAAAAAAUUUAAAAAAUUGGCUGAGUACCAUGGGACAUGCCUAUGGUCCCAGCUACUCAGGAGGCUGAGGUGGGUCAAAGAUCGCCUGAGCCCAGGAGGUUAAGGCUGCAGUGAGCCAAGAUCGUACCACUGGACUCCAGCCUGGGAAACAGAGUGAGUGAGGUCCUGUCUCCAAAGCAAACAAAAACCCAAAAUAUAUAAAAAUAUACACAAUGGAAGGAAC